GGACAACCCCAGGGAGCCCUCCACCAGCAGCCAGUCCACUGCUGAGAAGGCUCUAUGCUGAGAGCAUUCCCCACGAUGGAAAGAAGGGCAACAUGAAAAGGCUGGGAGUCAGUGAACCUGAGGGAAGCCAUGAAGAGACAAGGACUGCCCUCUCCUGCUGACCCAAAGGCCCAUAUUCUGAAUUCUGAAACCCCCUUUUCAUCAGCAGCUCUCCUGGACAACCAGCUGUAGCUGCCCCACUACCUUCAGGGCUAAGAGACUCUUGUUGAUCUCUGCACCCUCCAUGCGGGUCUGCCGGUCAGCACUGGAAGUGUCUGCACCUCGCUCAUUCCCUGCCAGAUCUACCAAAGAGAACUUGCCAUGCAUUCUCCCUUUGGCUCGAAGAAGAAUCUGGAAGCAGGCGUGGGAGCGGGAGGAAUUGGAGUUGGCAAAUGUCUGCCCAGAGGUUCUGUGGUAAAGAAAGGUUAUGAGAUUCUGGGGUCACCAGCCCCUAUGGCACCCCAGUCCAAAGAAGUUCUCUAGGAAGGGAGGGACACAAGUCAGGAGGUGAAGUCGUGUGUCUUCCUGUCCCAGGCUUCCAACUUGCACUUCCUAGGUAACAGUUCUCUCUCUAGCUCUGGGCCUAAUACAUUUUCCUGGCAGCCAAAUUAGUACUAGAUUCUGGAGUAGGGCGUUUGCCAGACCUGGGGGCCUAGAAGGAGAUGGGGAAGGAUAAACUGCCUCUGCUAAAGGGCCCACAGGGAAGGGGGAAGCUGUUAUGAACCACCUGCCAGAACUUGACCCUGUAGAGGGCAGCCCCCUCCCUGGGCAUCCAUAGCUGCCUAGCACCCCACUAUAACAAUGUCUAUAGCCCUAGUGGAAAAGUGCUCCCCUACUUCUCUGCAGAGAGGCUGUGAACUCGUUACUUCCAGCCCAGAACAGACCCAGAGCUCCUGACUUCCACCAUAAAGGAAGGGAGAAGCAAGGAGGAACCCAGAGAAGCCAGGAAGCAUGCCUCUGGGGUAACACUUUGACUUGUUUUUAUUUUUAUUUUUUUUGAGACAGGGUCUCACUCUGUCAUGCAGACUGGAGUGCAGUGUGCAAUCAUAGCUCACUGCAACCUGAAACUCCUGGCCUGAAGUGAUCCUCCUGCCUUGUUUUCCCAAAUUGCUGAGAUUAUAAGUGUGAGCCACUGUGCCUGACCUGACUUGGUUCUGAUAAGCCUCUGGCCCUGGCUUAUAUGUCUUAUUGAGACCCCAUAAAGCAGAGGCCUUCGAAGCCCUUACCAAACUGGGGAAAGCAGCACUCUGUGGAAACAGAAAUGCGCUCAGAGCUAGACUCUACUCAUGAAUCAGACAUGAGGUCACUCCUUCCCCUCACCAGGACUCUGACCUGCAGGCGCUGCCCAUGUCGAUCAUCUUGAUGACAUCAUCAGCAGAGUUAACCAGGUGCUCCUGCAGCCCCACCACCUGCACCUGUUGCUUGCCGUCCUCCAGCACACGCAGCUUGGCCUUCUUGUUGAGCAGGUCAAACAGCUGUGCCAGGGAGGGGGAAUGAGGCUAAAGCCACUGGACACCGGGCACCCCACCCGACUGCUCCCUCCUAUAGAACCUGCUCAGCUCAGACAGGAGCUAGCAGCAGGAAAGGCAGAGAGUAUGAACUGAUGGAUGCUGGCCUAGCAGAGGAUAAUAUACUUGGAACCUGAGCCAAACUGCCUCAGUUUGCUGUAACUCUGCUACCUUAUUAGCUGUGUGAGCUAAUAAGGCAAGUUAACAACCACUCUAGCUUUGCAUCUCAUUUGUAAAGCUGAGAAAAGUAAAGUGCUUAGAAUGGUG